GACGAACGCUGGCGGCGUGCUUAACACAUGCAAGUCGAACGGAAAGGCCCUGCUUUUGUGGGGUGCUCGAGUGGCGAACGGGUGAGUAACACGUGAGUAACCCGCCCUUGACUUUGGGAUAACUUCAGGAAACUGGGGCAAAUACCGGAUAGGAGCUCCUGCUGCAUGGUGGGGGUUGGAUAGUUUCGGCGGUUGGGGAUGGACUCGCGGCUUAUCAGCUUGUUGGUGGGGUAGUGGCUUACCAAGGCUUUGACGGGUAGCCGGCCUGAGAGGGUGACCGGCCACAUUGGGACUGAGAUACGGCCCAGACUCCAACGGGAGGCAGCGGGGGGGAAUAUUGCACAAUGGGCGGAAGCCUGAUGCGGCAACGCCGCGUGCGGGAUGACGGCCUUCGGGUUGUAAACCGCUUUCGCCUGUGACGAAGCGGGAGUGACGGUAAUGGGUAAAGAAGCACCGGCUAACUACGUG
rnacentral:rRNA from 1 species